UGCUGGCUCACAUCUUCUCUGUAAAUUUGCGUCCUGUGUUGUAUUUUGAUGGCAAAUCUGGCUAUGAUUUUGAAUCUCCGUAAAUUGUUCUCCUAAUGUAAACUUGUGAUCAGCCAUUACGUUAUCUCUCCGAUCCGGUUUUCGCCUUCCCAGACAUUCUGUGCAAGUGCCGAAAGUGUUCUCGAUUUGCAUAUCAUUAAUUGGAAUGCAACGUGAUUUCUACGAGAAGAUGUAUGUAGAGCUGGCGUAUUAUUUGUCAAUGGAGUUUUUACAGGUUUUCUAUGCUUGGGCACAGUCUGGGGGAUGUAGCGUCAGGUGCUGCCCUCGGAAAUGAGGGACUAGUGUGGCUUGCUUCUUCCUUUUUCCUUCUCAAAUCCCUGGCAACACUGAAUUAGUCUAGCAUGGGUUAUGGACUUAGAUACAAGCACUUGUUUGAGCAGUACAUCGAAAAAGAAGGUCAGGAGAAAGUUGCUGUAAGUUGCCUUAGGAGCCAAAUGCUGCCAUUUGAAAUCAGGGACUAAGGUGGCCUGCUUCUUCCUUCUCAAAUCCUCGGCAAGUGGGAACACUGAAUUACUGUAGCAUGGGGUUAUGGACUUAGAUACAAGUACUUGUUCGAGCAGUACAUCACAAUAGAUGAGCACCCUUGAAUUGCAAAACAGGGCUGGAAAUUUUGCAUGAGCAAUCAUCAAGGGUUUUGUAAGUUUCUUGAGUUUCCUCUAUGAGAUUUUUGCAUCACAUAAGUAGAAUUACCCAUUUUAGAAUUGCUUUUCUGUGCGAAGUAUGCAUGUCACAGCGUAGGUCUUCUCCUGUAUAGCAUUUAGAAUUUUCGUUGUUAUACCUUUUUUGUCUUUCUAUGAAUGAAAGAAAAUGGAAAGUAAUAAUGCGUAUGUGUGCGUGCAUGUGGUCGAUCCGUCUUUAAUUAUGUAGAUGUGUAAAACUAAUACCUUGCUUCUGAAAAAUGUCUCUGUACGUGUAUGCAACCUGAGUAAUUGAAAAGUAAAACUGAUACCUCCAUGAAUGAUCUUUAGGGGGACUAACAAUUUUGUUCUCUCAGAUAUUGGGUUGCUGUUUCAAACACUGUAGGUAACACCAUUUCAAUAAAGAGCUGGCAUGGUAUGUGCCCGACAUUAAUGCUUGUUUGGGUUUAUAUUUUAUGAAUCUAAUUAUCAUAUUUACUGUUGAUUUCUUUUGUUACUACGUUUUCCGUCAUUAAUUAUCAAUUCUUAAACUCAAUAUUUUAAACAGUGCAAUUGAGGCUCCCUCAUGAUGACAUGUUUCCCGAGCAAGGGUCUAAAAUACCAAAUCCCUAAACAUGUAAUACAACAAGGCUUUGCAUUUGUAAAGGUGCACUGUCUCCUUUAAGUGAGGCUCAAGCAUUUUUGAUUUAUAAGUUUUUAGUCAGAUUUGAUAGUAAACAAGGGCUAGAAAAAUUAACUUUGAUGUGUUUAUGAAAAGAUGCUAUAGUCUUGGUGAAUUUAUAAGCUUGUGAGCAGAGACCUUUCCAAAUAAUUGAGAUAUUGGAUAAUGAACACAAUUUGAAUUUUUUAAUGUUAUGAUUAUGUCUUGGCAUGGUUUACUUGAAUGAAUUCAAGUUUCUAUGCUUAGAAUGGCCAGAAAAUAUAUAUAUGGUAAUUAAGCUUCAUUAAAACCAAAGGGAAAUACAAGUACAGAUGCAGUAAAAUACAGAUAAACAACCUAUGCUUUAACAACUACCAGAAAAACUUAACCAAAGCUAUUUUCACCUCAAUUACAAAUUGCAAGACAAUAUCAUUCGAAUCAGGAGGAACUUCAGCAUAGAUCAGAGAAUUUCUCAUCUUCCAAACAUGAUGGAUUGAAGUGGCCAAAAUCUGUUCUGCUAAUAUCUCCUUCUUUGAAUUUCCAAGAUUUUUCAGCUUCAUCAUGUAUAUAUCCCAUUCAGCAACUGCAACAUCAAUUCUUAGGCUAGAACAACUAUUAAAAAAAUAUCUUGAAUGAAAGAGCAAUCAAAGAACAAAUGAUUACGAGUCUCCAGUCCAUUGUUGCAUAAUCUGCUUUGUCAUCAUUUAGCUUUCCCUGUUUCAACUUAUUCAAAGUAGGCAGCCUAUUGAGUAUGGCUAACCACAAGAUAAAUUAAUGCCUAGGAAUAGCAUUCUCAAACCAGACAAUAUGAGCCCAAUCUGAUUUUCUGGGGUUUUCUCUUCAUUGCUCAUAAGCAGAGACAAAAGAAUAUGAGCCAUAGAUAGUUAAUGGGUCAUAUUUGAUCCUUUUUUUUUGUUUUUUCCCAAAUUUUAUAUGUAAUUUUUCUAAUUUCCUCCUGUUCUUAAAAUAUAUGUAAGUUAUUUAUAUUUUUUUUUUGCAUAAAAAAAUAAAAAAUUCCAAGAGACUUAAGCCUGAAUGCCUUUAGGCUUAUGACUUAUUAGUGUCAAAAACACCUUGGAGGACACCUUUUCCUUUUAAAGCAUUGUUUAAACUCAGUUAGGUUGUCAUACUUGGCAUGUUCACAAGCCAGGAAGACAAGUUUUGCCUUGGUGAUUGUACUGCCUUUCUGCUAUUAUGAGAAUUUCAAUUCAAUUAUAGAUUCAUACCACUGUUAAUAAGUUUUAUUAUUGUGGUAAUCUUGUUUUAAAUUUUGAUGUUUGCUGCUUUAUUUAGUCCUCACUUUUUAAAGUUGUGUUGUUGUUGUUAUUGGAAUUUGAUGGAUCAACAUCAUCUAAUUUUGUGCUGGAGCAACAGUCGUUGCAGGUAUCAGUGACUAGCUUAUUAUUAGUCCUGUCCCAUCAAUUUUGUAUCUUCUUUCAUGCUGUGUCCUUAUCAGAGCAUGUAUUGUGUAUCAUCCAACAGUUUAUGUGGAAGGAACAUGUUCUAUUCCCAUGAGCAUGAAAGAUAUUUCUAAAUAGUUUCAAUGACAGUAGUGUGUGUAUAUAUUCUCUAGCAAACCAUCUCAAUAGUAUCUUCCUAAACUCUGAUUAUUUGAGGCUUUGCAUCAUUAUUUGGUUGUAUUUGCAGGGGAUUAGCUAUAGCUGCUCCAACGUAUAAAUCCAUAGGUACAGUUUGCAUAUAUAACUUACGCAAUGAUCCACUUUUAAUGUGUUCAAUGAUGUCCUACUCCUACAUAGCUCUUGAUUUGUGUUAAAGUUAAUUGUUUUGAUCACCAAGGAGGAGGCAACAUGAAUGAUUUGCAUCGUUCUUUUUUCUAUUUUAUUUUAUGGGCAUUUUGACAUGGGAGCAGAAGGAUUGGCCCUCUCUGUAUUGCGAUUUUUACCAGUCAUCUAUAGAGGGUCUUCCCUGCAAGUUCACCCGCACCUUCAUUUCUUUUUGAACUUUUAUGGGGCCAUGGGGAUGUGCAUUCAAAUGAUCCUGGGCGUGAAAUUAUAAUUGAGGGAAUGCACAUGUGAGAUCCCAAAAUUAUGUGGUUGAAUUGCAGAAGCACGAGUAUGAGGAGAUUAUUCUCUUGUUAACACGAAUUUUAUUUCUUUAUGUUGGAAACAUGUUCUUAAGGUACUAGAUUUGAAAUAAAUUUGCAUAUUGAUUUGAAUUAGAUGUACCUAUUAAGUGACUGUCCAACUUGGAUGUUCUUUGUAUACAAGUGAGGAUUCAACC